ensembl:snRNA U1 U1 spliceosomal RNA
UUACUUACCUGGCAGGGGUGAUACCAUAAUUAUAAAGGUGGUUUGCCCAGGGUGAGGCUCAACCACUGCACUUCAGCUUUGCUGACCUUUGCGAAUUCCCCAAAUGUGAGAAUCUGGACUGCAUCAUUUCUGGUAGUGAGGGACUGCAUUUGCACUCUCCAC